rnacentral:rRNA from 1 species
UACGAAGGGGGCUAGCGUUGUUCGGAAUUACUGGGCGUAAAGGGCGCGUAGGCGGCUGUGCAAGUCAGAUGUGAAAGCCCUGGGCUCAACCCAGGAUGUGCAUUUGAUACUGCGCGGCUAGAGUGUCGGAGAGGAUGGUGGAAUUCCCAGUGUAGAGGUGAAAUUCGUAGAUAUUGGGAAGGACACCGGUGGCGAAGGCGACCAUCUGGACGACAACUGACGCUGAGGCGCGAAAGCGUGGGGAGCAAACAGG